GCAAGUCGAACGGUAACGUGGGGAGGAGCUUGCUCCACCCCGACGACGAGUGGCGAACGGGUGAGUAAUACAUCGGAACGUGUCCGCUUGUGGGGGACACCCAGCCGAACGGUUGGCUAAUACCGCAUGGGUUCUACGGAAGAAAGAGGGGGACCCGAAAGGGCCUCUCGCGAGCGGAGCGGCCGAUGACGGAUUAGCCGGUUGGUGAGGUAACGGCUCACCAAAGCAACGAUCAGUAGCUGGUCUGAGAGGACGACC
rnacentral:rRNA from 1 species